GUGGGGAAUAUUGGGCAAUGGGCGAAAGCCUGACGCAGCCAUGCCGCGUGAAUGAUGAAGGUCUUAGGAUUGUAAAAUUCUUUCACCGGGGACGAUAAUGACGGUACCCGGAGAAGAAGCUCCGGCUAACUUCGUGCCAGCAGCCGCGGUAAUACGAAGGGGGCUAGCGUUGCUCGGAAUUACUGGGCGUAAAGGGCGCGUAGGCGGACAGCUUAGUCAGAGGUGAAAGCCCAGGGCUCAACCUUGGAAUUGCCUUUGAUACUGGCUGUCUUGAGUUUGGGAGAGGUGAGUGGAACUCCGAGUGUAGAGGUGAAAUUCGUAGAUAUUCGGAAGAACACCAGUGGCGAAGGCGACUCACUGGCCCAAUACUGACGCUGAGGCGCGAAAGCGUGGGGAGCAAACAGGAUUAGAAACCCCGGUAGUCC
rnacentral:rRNA from 1 species